AACACACUUCAGAGUCUGAAGCCACACUAUCAGCAGAUGAGCCAUGAUGGAGUUUGUUCACGUUGCUGUAACUGUGCUCGGUCUUCUGUCUCUUGGACACUCAGCUCCUGUGACAAGCUGUGAGAAUCUAAUCCAGCCUCGUGAAAUCCACGGAAAUCAGGUAGGAGAGUUAAAGUGUCUGCUGCUGAGCUGGAAGAGUUUACAAAGCAGGCAGAGUGUCUGAACCUAGAAUCCCCUGCUAUCUUGGAUUCAGAAAAAGGGUUUUGCCCAGAUCCAGCACUCACCCCAGGAACUAAGACUAUUGAUCUGACCGUGAACAACAUAACGCCCGAUGAGCUCAACCUAUUGGAGAAGCUUUUCACUGAGAGUGGAAUGAAGACCAUUUUGGACACGGACCAAAGUAGUGUGGAUCUAUUCAAGGAAGACUGAAGUAGUCAUAAAUGUCACUAAGCCAUUCUUCUCUGACCUCUGGUGUUAACACAUUUUCUAAAUCUAAAGCUUACUUGAUCUCUUUGUCUGACCACUCUCUGUAAACCCUAGAGCCAUGCUAUGUUAAAUGUUACUCAAAUCAACUGUCUUACCCAUUCUGAUGUUCCGAUUUGAGCUUCAGCAGGUUAUCUUGCGUCUUCAUGCUUAAAUAAACGGAGUUGCUGUCAUUUGAUUGGCUGAAUAGAAUGAAAGAGCAGAUGGACUGGUGUACCUUACAAAGAUGCCUGUCAGUGCUUAUUAUCUAGCAAAUAAUAGCAGCCAAGGAAGCAGUUAAUUAAAAAAAUGAGUUGAAGAGAAGAAUGUCCAUACCUUUGUUUAAUUAAGUUUAUUCCUGUACAUACAUCUGCUCAUGAGUCAUGUAUAUACAUUUACUGUCUCUCAGACACACACGCACACAUACGACCACUCAAGAUUAUAUAAAAAGGACUCAUUUUUUGUGCAGGAUUUCAUCACAGUCAGAUCUACAUCGGAACAUUUGCUUCUGCAAACAUCAUGCACACACACACCACAAAUAUGCAUACGGCCCUAUGCCUCGCUUUACACAGAACAGUUCAAAGUAUAGAAAAGUGACAGAUGAACCGACAGGCAAACCAGCAGUAAUCAAGUGAAUUUGGGUCUUUUAACAUAAAAAGGCUAAAUCUGUUUUUUGUUGGUGCAUGUGCUUCCUUCACUUUUCUAAAUAGGAAAACCACAGAAAAGUUAGAAAGGUUAUUCUUCUUUUCUCAGGGAUAUUUCCAAAUCUUCAAAUGCAUCGUUUAGCAAUUACUCAAAGUAACGUGUGACGUGUGUACUAUAUGCGACACCCUGGUGUAACAGUGAGAUUUUGCUACAUUUUGGGGCUUUUCAAAAUCUAGUGCAAUCCCCUGAGUGUGAUCCAUGCAAUCACCAGACCUCAGUGAACAAAAACUAAGUGGCUUAGCUCAAAUUCUUGACAUACAUAACCUCAGUCUUCUUAUGCUUUCACAAAGGUGUGCGGAGCAGGGAAAGACAAUUAUGCAAUCUACUCAAAAAGGCCUUCUUUCAGAUUUCCAUCUGUUCCUCUCUUUGUCAGUGAUAAACAUAUGCAAGAUAUGUGAUGUGCUUCAUGUUGUGAUCUGUGACAUGGAAACAUUUGUUGAAGUAACCAUCAUGAAGCAGGAUUACAGGCUAAAUAACUCACUCAGAAACAAGGCUUCAUAAUUAAUAUUUUAUCACAAAGUGAACUCCUCUGGGGCUGAAAAAUCCUGCUAACACUGAACUGCCACCGGCUGCAGCUCCUCAUAUGACCACCUGAGGCAGGCUCCAAAAGACCUUUUAACCAUGUUUGCGGCACUCAAACCUUUUUGGAGUGUUUUUAAGGAAUUUACGUGACAAAUAAUAACUGCUUAUUAUUUAGCAGGUAUUUCUGCUAAAUAUGGCCUAUAAAUGCUCCUUGCUUGUCAGGCUAGCUGAUAACUAUAGAUGAUAUAAAGAAUGGACAUAGCUUCCAGACCUGAAAAAAAAAUGAAGCCAGUGUGGAAGAGCCAUAAACCUGCACUCAGUUGUGAUUUAAAACAAAAAAAAGAAGAGAGACAGAGUUCAGGUCCUAUAGAAGUCUUUUGAAAAACCGCAAUCUAAUCAGACCUGUAUACACACUUUACUACUUAAUUUCUUAUUCACUCACUUUAAAUCAUGCUGAAUACAAUACGGAGUGCAUUUUGUUACUUCCCUUUGAGGUCCGUUACUGGUGUUCACUAACUUCUGCUGGAAAGAGCGGCAUGUUUACAUGUUAGCAGACUGUGUACAGUCUGAACUUUUUCUCUGAAAACAACUGGUUCAAACCAGACUGACAAGGAACGGUGACAGUGAACCAAAGCAGUAAUGCUUUCAGGACAGAAAACCACAACAACUCACUGGAAGACAAAAACGCCUCAUAGAACAGAGUAGGGCUGAUAACGUCUUUACACAUAUUAGACCUGCUUCAUCUCCUUGUUGAGAUUCUCCAUACUAUAUUGAACGCCCAAAUCCUGCUUCAUGACACAGAUCACUUGUACCACAUAACACCUCACAAAGUGGAACUCUUAUUCUUUAUGUUCAUCUCGAGUAAGUUUACAUCUAAGACAGAAUAUCUGCCUUGUACACAUCCACAUCCUUUAGACACGAGUAAGCCAAGGUCAGCAGAUAAUCAACACCUUUACUUGGCCUCUCUUAUGUACAAAGCGAUUGUGUGCUUUAGUCACGACACAAGACCCCAGAGAGAAAUAAAACAACCAAGGCAUUCCUUUGCAGUUACACAAAAGAUGCUUAUUUCACCAAUGCACGCUCACAUUUUUAAAUUACUUAAACAAAAAGAUUGAAGUAUUUUUUUUUCCAUUACCAAAGAAGAGUAUCCUGUGUUUGAUUUGUCCAAUUUUGGUUAUUUUUUUGCUUAUGUUUGACACACAUACAAAAGUUUUGCAAACAUUGUCCGUCUUUUCUUUCAACAAAACAGAAAACAAACCUUCAAAUGCUAAAAACAAAGAAAACAAGAAAACAAAACAAGCUUUUCUUCAACACCGGUGGCCGUCUCUUCAAGAGUCAGCCCACCACAUGGACACACGUUUAAAACAAACUGUUCCACGUAAUCUGUGUAGCAUAAAGACCCAUUCAUACAGUACAGUCAGAGUGUGUGAUUGUCACUGGGUUAGGUUGAUGCACAGUGAAGUGACGUGAAAAGAGGCCAGAGGACGCCUGGUAUUUGAAUAGUGACAUUGAGUUCAGCUGUUUU
ensembl:lncRNA